rnacentral:rRNA from 1 species
UACGUAGGGCGCAAGCGUUAUCCGGAAUUAUUGGGCGUAAAGAGCUCGUAGGCGGUUUGUCGCGUCUGCCGUGAAAGUCCGGGGCUCAACUCCGGAUCUGCGGUGGGUACGGGGCAGACUAGAGUGAUGUAGGGGAGACUGGAAUUCCUGGUGUAGCGGUGAAAUGCGCAGAUAUCAGGAGGAACACCGAUGGCGAAGGCAGGUCUCUGGGCAUUAACUACGCUGAGGAGCGAAAGCAUGGGGGAGCGAACAGG